UGGGGAAUCUUCCACAAUGGGCGAAAGCCUGAUGGAGCAACGCCGCGUGUGUGAUGAAGGGUUUCGGCUCGUAAAACACUGUUGUAAGAGAAGAAUGACAUUGAGAGUAACUGUUCAAUGUGUGACGGUAUCUUACCAGAAAGGAACGGCUAAAUACGCGCCAG
rnacentral:rRNA from 1 species